AUAUUUCUAUCCCAGAUAUGGUUUCUCUACAAAAAAUAAAUUAGAAGGGAACUAGUUUAAAACAUCUAGGCUUGGUCUGAUGCAUCCAUUAUCUCUACCAGGGACGAAAGCCAUGGGGAGUGAAGAGCCAAUGGGGAGAGAAGUACAUGGUAGAUGCUGGUACGAAUUUCCAGGAAGUGUAGGUGAGAAUUCAACACUGAAGCAGGCACAGUACCUGGUCAUCUUUAUUUCCAACACUUUCAUGGAAAUGCAGAACUUUGAUGAUGUAUUGAGAGGAGAUACAAACAAUUACAGUAAUUAAAUGACUGAAACUACGGUUGAAGGAGAUGGAGGAAGAAUGAAAUGGAAUAAAUUGGCUUAACACAGAUAUUACAGCAACCUGAUAAGUCCACAAAUAGUAAUAAUAGUUACAAUGUUUAUUAAGGUUAUGAAAAUACUCUGAAAGUGAGAUAACUUUUUUGUAGCAGAACAAACUUCAAACUUCCAAAAUAAUCUGGGAUAAUUUGUUUCUCUUCUUUAAAACGCUUCAUUCGUUUGUUUCUGUAUUCACUAAAGAUUUAUAAAAUAGCUGCUGUGUGCCAAGCAUUCAUACCAAUGGACAUUGAUACAGCAUGGAAUGAAAAGAAGUGAAGACCUCUCCGUCCUAACUGAGCCUGUGUUCAUGGCUAUGAGCUCGCUUGUUGCUGUUCAUUAUGGCAUGUAGAGUCUGUCUGGUUAAGAUAAAAAUAAAGUUGACCUGGGAAAAAUCAAACAAGGGUUAUGGGACAGAGCUGUAUUUUUGGACAAUGUGGUUGAAGAAGGGCAAACUGAAAAAAAAAUUAGAACAUAGUACUGAGAAAGGAAAAGGAUUGAGCCAGGCAGAUUCCUAAAAUGAG
rnacentral:lncRNA from 1 species